CGCCAAACCAUAAGAAAACAAAAAAAAACAAAAAAUUGAAUCUCUCUCAAAAGUUUCCUCUUCCCAAACAGAGGCAACAAUAAUCCCUUAGGUUUAGUUUUUCAGAAAAACCAGGUCGGCGUCUCGAUUUCAUCAGAAAACCAGUUAUCAUCUCGAUCGUUAUCUUGCGUUCCAUCAAAUUUGCGCUUCCAAUUUCAUGUGCUUGGGAAUCAGGGCGAGUUGCGGCGGCUUCACUGAGAUUAUAAAUAUAGUGAGGAAGCAUAUAUUGGCCGGUGGAGUGAAUUGAAGCGUCCGUCAUUUACCAUUCCACCCCUUGUAUUUUCCUCCCGAUGAAGAUGAUGGAUUGGAUCUGAUUGCAAAUGAAGAUCAAGUUGAUAGUGAGAAUCAUGCACACAUAAGGAAAAAGAAUUGAAGAUUAAAAGAUACAAGACAUUUAGUUUUGGACUAUACAAGACAUGUUAUGUUUAGAUAUUGAUCAUUUGGUUUUAUUUUGAACAUAAUAAUUUAAUUUUCAUAGAUCAUACAUCAAAUACAGUAGUAUGUAGUUUAUUAGUUUAACCUUCAAAAUUACAUUUACAUAUUCUUGCAAAUAACUAUUUCGUAUUCAUAUUAUUAUUAAUUACUAUUAUUCUUUUUA